UACAGAGGGUGCUAGCGUUGUUCGGAAUCAUUGGGCGUAAAGGGCGCGUAGGCGGCUUAUCAAGUCAGGCGUGAAAUUCCCGGGCUCAACCUGGGGGCUGCGCUUGAUACUGAUGAGCUUGAAUGCGGGAGAGGAUAGUGGAAUUCCCAGUGUAGAGGUGAAAUUCGUAGAUAUUGGGAAGAACACCGGUGGCGAAGGCGGCUAUCUGGCCCGUAAUUGACGCUGAGGCGCGAAAGCGUGGGGAGCAAACAGG
rnacentral:rRNA from 1 species